CCAGGAGGCACAAGGCCUGGAUCUAUAGACUGUCCCUUUCCCCCCAGCUCCUCACGCCACCCAAGGGUUGGUCUGACAUCAGCAGCUGAGGAGAGGCUCAAGUGUCCCAGCAACACCCGUGUCCGGGGUGACGUCAGAGCUGCACAGAAGCAGGGGCUGUUCUUUCAGUCCUCACACUGAUCCCUGUCCCAACCAGAGCAAAACACCAUCCUCCAUUACCUCACAGCCUCGCAUUCGGGUCCAAGAAGUGAGCGAAGGCUUCACCCUCGGCAGCAGCUGCGAGCUCUGGGGAAACAAGAUCGGUCUGUUUGUAACGACGGAAUUAAAGCCGAGAACAACAACGCUUCAGACCCGGCUGCAUUGAAUGCCGAUUGUGGCAAAAGAGACUGUCUGCUUUGGCCAAUACACAUGGCAGAGGGGCAUUGUUAGUUGCAGAAAUUAUUGGCAAGGCAUUUCAAAUCUAUAAAAAAAAAAGAGAAGAAAUCUACAAUCUCUUUGUGGCCAAUGCACCACCAGCAAAAGAGGCCUCCCGUGGAAUACCCUACGGCCAGGUCGCAAGCCUGAGAAAGCGCAGGUGCAGAGACAAAGCAACUCCGGCAAUCCAGCCUCCCCUUUUCUUGGUUCCCCCACCUUCUUGAAUCCCUGGCUCCGUUGUCAGACGUGGCAGCUGAAGAAACGGGCUCUCGGCUGAGUUAUAUAAGCCUGAAGACAAACAGCUGAUGGCCCGCCGUCGCCCCCUCCGUUCGCUUGGCUUCCCUGUAGGGAUCGCAGGGUUGUUUUGAAAUAAUAGGUGAUACGGGCUUGCCAAAGUUAAUACACCGCUGGCCUCGUUCACCCCUCUGAGACCGGGGUUUGCUGCCAAUGUCAAUUCAUUCAUCGUGAUGGGCUAGCGCAUACGCCGAGCACAUUUUCUGCAGGCCCAGAGGGGCACGGAGGCAGCGCAGGACCUUACAACGCCCUCACCCAGUGGCCGGGGAUUAUCAGAGCUCAGCAUGCGGUGGGCACAUGCCUUGCUGGGAUUGCUGCCAAUGCCGGGAAGAUGAACCAGGGAGAGCCAGCGAGGUUCUGUCCCGCGUGCUCCACACCAAGGGUGGCAGAGAAAAGUGGGCCAGGGAGCCUGGAGUAAGACUCAUGGUAACCUAGCAGAAUGAGGCCGAGACUGGUUCUGCACAGCCAGCACAACCAGUGCAUUGGGGUUACAGUGUGUGGGAAACUCCAUUUGGGAUAACAAGGCUGGUGCAUUCUCAUUUUCCCGCAAAGAAAUGAUGGACUUUCUCUGACCUUGUCCUGUUCAGGCGGCUACUGAGCAGUGCGAGCUGCACGUUUCAAGGACUCAGCCGAGGUCUAUCACCUUCUCCACGACCCUGCUCUCCCCUCACAGCCUGCAGCUCUGGGUGCCAAAGAGAACCCGCUUCGGUUACAAGAAGUAAAGAGUGUGGGCAUGGAUCGACCGCAACAACCAGCACAUGAAAAACGAGUCCUGGGCAUUAGGCCUGAUCCUCUUCUCACGCACGAUGCCCUGUACGUCUGGAGUAACUUGAUUGCAGGCACAGCCACUGAUGUUACACUGAUGGCAAACAGGGAAGGAUCAGAAUUAAGCCCUAGGUGCCUUGUGUGUAUCUUCUACCACCGCUCUCGGACGCUGCAUGCCACAGCAUGUCUGGAAAUCCAGACUCUCUGUUAGGAGAGGUCUCCACUGAAAGCACCUCUUCUCCCGUCACAGUAGUCCAUCCACCUCAGCGAGAGAGGCAGUAGCUAUGUCAACAGAAAAAGCUCCCCCACCCUCAUAGCGCUGUCUACACCAGGGCUACAU